GGAGGAUGUGUAAACGCUAACACCUAUUUUUCAGCAACAAUAAAGCAAAACGCACCUCUAACGCUCGCUUUUUAUUUGAAGCCACUUCCUAUUGACAGCCUGCUGGGACUCGGAAUUGAAAGGGCAUGAUCUUUUCUGAAGGCAGACUGGGGGAUUGUACCAAUACUAUUUUCAGAACCACAUCAAGCCAAUUAGCACAGUGGCUGCUAAGCUGGUGCAUGCUGGGAGCCCGAGCGGAUGCACAAGAUCAAGACGGAUGCCGAGUGACGAGCGCGGAGGCGGAGAUCAAUCUUUGUGUCUUAUUGCUGCUCACGUUCAAUAACACUUGAAUGGAGGAUGAAUACCGCAGGGAGGCACCACAAAGAUUUACUGACGGACCUCAAACCCACAAAAGAUGCUGUGUCUCUGUCGUCGGUGAAGUUGUUGUUUGAACUUUAAGCUGUGAAGCAAACAGAGAUGCAAGCAGCAUCAACUCAUCUCGACAGCGUCCAUACUGUAGGAGCCGACUGUUCACAGUGAUUAGGAGCCAUCUGAGGAUGUUUAUUAAUGACCUUGGCAUGAUCGCCGGCUGCCAUGAUGGUAAUGCAAUUCGCUGGCAGCCAGGGUACCAUAGCAGUGCACAAAGAGCGGUCUGAAAGCACAGAACAAGGCGCCUGGUGGACAUCCAUAUUAAUGGAGACUUCAGCCUGUGUUCUGCUGCCAUGAGCCGAGGCUCAGGUCCAGCCAACGUGACCUGAUCCCUGAGGACGUGCGCCUUUAUCUUCAUAGCGAGGUGUCCGUUCCAU